UGGCUGAGUGUUAAAGCGUUUGGCUUCCGAACCAAGAGGUCACGGGUUCGAAUCCGGU
rnacentral:tRNA from 1 species